rnacentral:lncRNA from 1 species
ACUAAUAUACAAUUGUUCAAAAUAUUUGAAUAAAUUAAACAAUAGCUCUGUUAUUUGACUUUAGACGAUGCGGAUUUAAGCAUGGAUGCAAUUUGGGUACUUCUCAUUUCAGAAUCAUUGAUGAUUUGGGGGUCAGUUCAGACCAAUUUUUCUAUGAUUCUAUAUGGAUUCAAAAUUAAAUAUGUGAAACCAUAUUGUACAUAAUGAUACAUCUACAAAAUAAACACAUAAUGAAAACUUUUGUCCGAAGCCUAAAUAAA